rnacentral:lncRNA from 1 species
CCUUUAUAUUCAAAGUAAAGUAACAAUUUUGGCUGUGUUGGGUUUCACUGAGAAAAACUGCCACAGUGACUCCUGCCUGCUUUAACAAGCUCAUCUUUUACCAUGCUUCCCCUUACUUACUUAUUUAGGCUUUCAUUGUACUGGCUUCUUUUGAGUUUGUCUAAUAAACCAAACUCCUCUUUCUCCCAGUCUUUGCAUAUUUUACUUCUGCUUGGACCUUACCUGUUCUAUCCCUUUCACAUUUUCAACUUAAAUGUCCUGUUCUUAGAGGGUCCAGUAGUUGAAUGGUUCAGAAAGGUAGGAAACCUGUCUAUUCUGUUUUCCACACUAUACUCAAAACUUAGCACCAUGCCCGGGAUAUAGUUAGAACUUGGUAAUAAAUAUAUGAUCUUGAGGGAAAUAGGAGAAUCUCUGUGGAAUAUUUCUUCAGGGGUGAAGAACUACUUUAUGUACUUUAAAAUUUCCAAUGUAUUACUGAUCCACAGGUAUUCAGUCUUAUAACAAGAUAGUCAAUCAGUAGUCAAUCAGUAUCAAUACAUUUCUUAAAGGGAGCCCCUCUUCAAAAGAUAUAUAUAAAUAUAAAUAUAUAGCAGUGCUGACUUUGAAGAAAACAUCUGUAUCUGGACUACAACAUAGAAUAUGCACAAAAGUUAGCAAGUCAUUCCUACUAAAUCUUUAAUAGUUAUAGGGGAGUCAGAGGUUUGUCAAACAAGAUUGGUAUUAAUGUUAUUUUUUCUCAGGUAAAAUAUAGGUCUGUCAAGUAAUAUUUCAGGUUGAAAUGUCAUUGAUUAAGCCACCUCUGUUUAGUUCAGUCUCCACAAUGUUAGCCAAUUGAGUGUAACUUAUGUAAAUUCUGCCCUAUUCUCAUACUGAUUUUCUUAAGGAAUUUUUUAACCAGCACACUUAAAAAAAACCCCAAGUGUACGCUGUAAGAAAACCAUCAAUUCAAAAACAAAAGCCAGUUCACUUGUAAUUAAUAGAGGAUGGUUAUGGUAUUUAUUACAUAUGAAUAAGGAAAAAUUGAGGGCUACCCACAUAAUCUUUGCCAGCAACAGCUCACAUACCAAACUCUGAGAAAUGUGAGUUUGACUUGUAGGUCUCUGCAAAGAAUGGGGUUUGGCUACAUAGCAUAUGUGUUAUUAAGGUUUGGAAGGACAAACAGCAAUUCCUGUUCAGCUUUAGCAUCACAUGUGUGUUUUUAGAGUAUACUCAGUACCACAGUUACCAGGCCACACAUAGCUUUGAAAUUUUUUAAAAAUGCAUCUUACAAUGCAAUUCUUAUACAUACUAAUGAAAGUAAAAUGUGUGUGAUUUUAAAGUAAACUGUGGUAUCUUUUAACUCAUUUGUGGUUAGCUUUGAGUAUAUUCUGCUGUGUUUCCUUGUUAGAUAGGUAUAUAAACAUCAUGUGUGUGAGACUUUGUAUUGUUAUUUUAAGAAACGUGUGUGGUUUCCUGUUCUUCUUUUAAUACCUCUCAGCUGUAAUCAUAGAUCUCACAUUUAUAGCAGAAUAAGAAAAUAUUAUGAGAGGAAUAAUUAACUUUAAGACACCAAAAAUAGGUGUUGGGAGUGGUGAUUAUGUAUCUUCAUUAGCAUAUAUAUAGUUAAAUAUCUUGUUGUUUCUAGGGAGAAAAAUCAAAUUAACCACAGGUUGUUACCUCAUACAGGUGCACAUAUAAGAGAUGUAUAAAAGUUGUUGAAAACAUGAAAUUACAAACACUGUAAUCAAAAUUUAAAAAUACAUAAUAUUUAUUACUAAGCUCUAAUCAUAUGCCAAGGACUGUGCUAAGAACUUUAUUUCAUUUAAUUGUUUAAACAACUCUAUCUAAGGGAGGGGCAUCUGGCUAGCUCAGUUGGUAGAGCAUGUGACUCUCAAUCUUGGUUGCUCCAAGCCCCACAUUAGGCAUGGAACCUACUUAAAAAACAUCUUAAGGGAGAUACGGAACUGAGCCUUGAAAGGUUUAAAAUAACUUGCUAGAGGUCACCCAGCCAGUAAAUGGUGAGGAUGAGAUUCAUACUUGUUGGAUUCCAGAGCCUGAGCUCUACACAUUUUCAAUGCCAGAUUCUAAAAAUCAUCUUUCAUCAAGUCCUUCCGUAUUCUGCAUAAUGGCUGUGAUCUAAUAUAUGGACCACUGGCUGACCUAGUAGAUGGGGGAAACCAUUGUUCUGGUUUUUACCCUUGCUUUCAAAUCAGGGCUUUUGCAUAUCAUAGAAAUAAUAUCUAACUCUUUACAAAAAUGAUCAGGCAACAGUAUUAUCAGUAGUAUCAUUAAUGAGUGCCAAAAACUGCUAUUACAGCGAGCAAAAUCAUGUGGUAACAUACUUCUGAUGCAGGCUGAAACAUGUAUACACAGCUACUCCUACUUCAGUGUGCUUGCUAAAUGAGACUGUUUAUUACUUCAGGUAUACAGGUGUUGAAGUUCAGAUGAUUGAGUACAAUGCAAUAAUGGAUGGUCACGGUUUGGCUUCCUUCCUUUGACUUCCUUGUAGAUAGUUAGCUGUUUGUGGUCAGAACAGGAAUAUGGGCUCAGUGCCAGCCAGGUACAUGGUAUGUUUGGGUAAAUAUAGUAAUUAGAAAAAAGCAGACUAACAUCCAAAUCUAGAAGAGAUGCCUGAGACUGAGGUUAGUAAGAAUCCACAUAAAAUAUCUAAAAUAAGCUGGCUAUAGGAAACUCCUCAAAAGCAGCACAGUUUAUCUUGUGAUUUAAAGACAAGUUAUUUCAAUACAUAUUGUUAGGUAGUGGCCUAUUUAAAAUUUAUUCAGUGGAAGAAACCUACAAAUAUGGGUGUCAUGAUAAAGGAUGUGCAUGAUACAUACAUUUAGUUUGUAUAAAUUCUCUUACAUAAAUAUUCCUUUAAGUGAGAAUACUGUAUUUAAAAUUAUGUUUGGAUUAUGUAUUCUUUUAUAUCCUGUUUUACUAGACAUUGUACUGAAUAUUAUUUUACAGAACUUUGUAUACUCUAGGCUAUUUAUGGAAUUUUUAGGGACAUUUUGACUAUGUAUAAUUUUUGCCUUAUAACACUAACUUUGGAAUCAACCUACAAGUUAGUUGUGACACUAGAGGUCAGAAGAGAUUGUUGUUGUGAUAAUAACUGCGGUAAGAAAUGGAUAUGAAUGUGUUACAGUUUAAAAGUUUUUGUAGUGUCUAGAAUGUAUCCAGUAGUAAAGAUGUCCUAAUUAUAGAUAGGGGGCUAUGGUUCUUUAUACAGACAUAUGGAGGGGAAAGGGAAAGAUAAUUUAUUAAUCAGCAAUGACUUUUGAGGGAAAUCUACCUUAAAAUGUAUCCACCAAAAAUCCAUCUCAAGUAUAAUUUGGUUUUCUACCUGUAAGAUUCUUCCUAGAAGAAAGAAUUGGACCUCUUCUAUACAUUUAACCACUACAUACCACUCGUGCAUUAAUUGUAGUCUGGCUUGUAUUUUAUGUAUUGUUGUCCAAGCCCUCUCACCAGAUUAUGAAUUUAUUCAGGAUGGGGAUUAUUUUUUACCUUUGUAUUCAUUGUAGUGCCAGCACUGAGGGUAGUAAGAACUCAAAAACAUCAGGUAAAUUUUUCGGAUUGUUGGAUCAGCUAGCAUUCCCAUGGUAAAUUAAAAAGUGAUUUACUAGUUUAUAAAUCAAUCUCUUGUGAGUUUGGUUAACACAAAUGAAUUUCUCAGAGUUUCAUUCCCAUGGGUGAACUGAUAAAAUUAGAUUUCACUAGACUGGUACAUGUAUCAGAAGGGUCCAAGGGACAGAGUUUCUAAUAAAUUCCUAAAAAUAAACUGCACAUUUCUCUAGUGCAUAUCAGUGGAAUUUCAUGAUAAGCUAAUCCUCUUCUUGCACCACAUUCUUUGAUGUAUUGUUACAUCUUACCAUGUCCAAAUAGGAAUAAGAGUGUAGAUUUCUUUUAAUGAUUGCCUUAUUAUUAUUGUAGAAUAACGUAACUCUCCACUUCUGGAAUGUUUUUUAAAGUAUAUAAAUAUAUUGAAGAAAAGAGUUUAAAUCUUUAUAUAAUCUAGAGAUUUUAAAAAUUAGAAUGAAAAAUGGGCAGAAAUAAUAAAUUAAUUUAUCAAUCCCUAAAGGCAAGAGGCAACAAGUUCCAUCUUGAAAGUCUCAGCAGAUCUGUGAUCUGUAUACUACAGGUAUAGUUAGGAGGCUGGUGUUUUGAGUAGGAAGAUAAUGGUUUUUAAUUGGCUCAUCACUGAAGUUUCAUUCUGAAAGGAGGGAAAUGAACUUAACGCCAAUAUUAACAGGUGAUAAUUAAAUUAUGGGUUCUGCAUGCUUAAUAUCCUACACUCAGGCAAGAUGAGGCAACUGGAGGCCAUUAACUUUAAUAAUUUGAGUCAGUGUCUCUCUUAAGUAGGAUUUUAUAGCAUAUUAGCAAUGGUUGAUUAGUAUUAAAUCAGAAAAUAAACUGUUUUCUUAUGAGAGCAUGUUUUACUAAUUUCAUCUUCAUACCUAUGCAUUUAAAUGUAUAGAAUAAUUUACAUGAAGUAUUAUGUCUUCAAAGGCAAAUAAAAAAAUAAAUGUAAAACAUUUGUUGUCAAAUCCUAAAAUUAAUAUUUCUAUUUCUAAACAUUGUUUUCUACAUUUAUCAUGGAUUAAAAAGCAGUGUUCAGGGACACCUGGGUAGCUCAGGGGUUGAGUAUCUGCCUUCAGCUCAGGGAGUGAUCCCGUGGUCCUGGGAUUGAGUCCCACAUUGGGUUCCCUGCGUGGAGACUGCUUCUCCCUAUGCCUGUGUCUCUGCCUCUCUCUCUCUCUCUAUCUCUCAUGAAUAAAUAAAAAAAUAAAUAAAAAUAAAUAAAAGCAGUGUUCAAAAUGAAGGCCCAUGAUUAUUUAACUUUAAUCACGAAGAACUGAUUUAAACGUUUAAACAUUUAAUUUUACUAUUAAAGCUGAAACAUCCCUGAUUGAAAUGUUCAAGUAUUCUUUUGUAAAUAUUUUAUCCAUGUUUGACUCAAUGUUUUAAAUAUUAAGGUGUUAUUCCACGUAACUUGUAUGCAGUUUGAUAUAGGCAUCCUGUAGGAAUUAUAUCACAGUAAUGACCAUCCUCUUUCUAAAGAAUGUUUUAUUUGUUUUAUUCUUACAUUUAAUGAGUAUCUGCAUUUCUAGUAUUUUUAAACAUCGCUGCUACCACAUUAACUUUGAAAUACUUAAUGUCAUAUGUUUAUAUUUGGGGCUUUUGUUAAACGUCCCUACCUGUCUUGAGAAGUUCACUUUUGUUAUGACUUAGAGUGACCAUAUAAGUUACUAUCCAGAUUUUUGGGGAGUGAAAGGGGAUGCUUUUUUAAAAAACGAAUAUGCCAGGAAAAUAGGGACAAACCAGGAAGUAUAUCAGCCUAGUAUAAUAGUAGACCAUUAUUAUAGCACAAUACUUGGGUUAAUAUAAUCCCAUUCUGAAGAAAUGCUUUCAGAAUCCCUGGUUGGGAGAACAGGAGUGCAUGUCUUCCUCCUUGUUACAUAACAGUGUAAGAUUUGGGUCUCUCUCAACUCCAAGCCACUGGAGGUGUGUAUGUUGUUUUCACUUUGGUGUCCCUAGCAGCCUGCAGGGUGUCCUGCACAUGAAGAUGAAACUAGCAGAAUCCUGGGUUUCAGACUAGAGAAGUGUGCUGAAGUUGUGCAAAAAUGGUUGAGAAUGAAGGAAAUUGGAGGUGGAGGAAGAGGGAAACACAGGGCUCUCCUUCCUGUUUCAACUCCACAGGAGAGUAUUCCAUUAUUACUGUUCUUACUAAAUGAUGAGAAUUGGAGGUGGCAUUCCUUCUUUUCCGUCUUCACUAAUUUAGUCUUAUACUCAGUACCAACUCAGAGCAAGCCAAAGAUCGCUCAUGAGAAUAGUAGGUUCACCAGGGUUCAAUGGAGGGGAGUUGUUUGCAGAUCUGGGGUUUACAGCCCUCUUCAUUUCACUUGUUGCUCUCUAUCCUACUGCUGAAGAUGGCAUUUUGACUGCAAAGGGCUGAUCAUUUAUAGUAUAGAAGGGCAAAGAAGGAGAGGACAGGGGAGGUGAGGUGAGAGUAGAGAGAGAGGAAUUGGGAAAGUAGUAGAGGAUGUGGUCCCAGGCCAUAAUAGAUUU